GCCUCCGUGGAUUAGCGGUAAAUCACCUCAGUUUCAUAUGGUAUGUAUGGAAGAUAGUGAGGAGCCGUGGGUUUGAGUCCCACCGGAGGCA